rnacentral:misc_RNA from 1 species
GAUGAAGAACGUAGCGAAAUGCGAUAAGUAAUGUGAAUUGCAGAAUUCAGUGAAUCAUCGAAUCUUUGAACGCACAUUGCGCCCGCCAGUAUUCUGGCGAGCAUGCCUGUUCGAGCGUCAUUUCAACCAUCAAGCCCCAGGCUUGUGUUGGAGCCCUGCGGCUGCCGCAGCCUCCCAGAACCAGUGGCGGGCUCGCUAUCACACCGAGUGCAGUAGUUUACUCUUCGCUCAGGGCGUGUGGCGGGUGCUAGCCGUGAAACCCCCAACUUCUCAAGGUUGACCUCGGAUCAGGUAGGAAUACCCGCUGAACUUAAGCAUAUCAAUAAGCGGAGGA